GGGGAUUUGCCAUGGGCGCAGCCUGAUGCAGCAACGCCGCGUGAGGGAUGACGGCCUUCGGGUUGUAAACCUCUUUUAGUAGGGAAGAAGCGAAAGUGACGGUACCUGCAGAAAAAGCACCGGCUAACUACGUGCCAGCAGCCGCGGUAAUA
rnacentral:rRNA from 1 species